CCACCUUACAAAGAUGGUCAUCUUCAAGUAUCACACUCCUCUCAUCGAUUUUAGUGUAUAUAGUGAAUCAAGACCAAUUCAGUGUGUCGUGGUCAGAAUAGGCUGAAUCUAGGGUUUAAAUUUUUAUGUUGCUCUUGUGACCAUUCGAAACCACUAAGAGGUCAUCCUCCACCUCAAGAUCAGCCGUGACACUUAGCGAAUC
rnacentral:lncRNA from 1 species